CUACGGGUGGCUGCAGUAGGGAAUCUUCGGCAAUGGACGGAAGUCUGACCGAGCAACGCCGCGUGAGUGAAGAAGGUUUUCGGAUCGUAAAGCUCUGUUGUAAGAGAAGAACGAGUGUGAGAGUGGAAAGUUCACACUGUGACGGUAUCUUACCAGAAAGGGACGGCUAACUACGUGCCAGCAGCCGCGGUAAUACGUAGGUCCCGAGCGUUGUCCGGAUUUAUUGGGCGUAAAGCGAGCGCAGGCGGUUAGAUAAGUCUGAAGUUAAAGGCUGUGGCUUAACCAUAGUACGCUUUGGAAACUGUUUAACUUGAGUGCAGAAGGGGAGAGUGGAAUUCCAUGUGUAGCGGUGAAAUGCGUAGAUAUAUGGAGGAACACCGGUGGCGAAAGCGGCUCUCUGGUCUGUAACUGACGCUGAGGCUCGAAAGCGUGGGGAGCAAACAGGAUUAGAUACCCUAGUAGUC
rnacentral:rRNA from 1 species